UCCACUUGUGAAUGGAAGGUGGAGUCGUGCCGUGUGGCAUUUUAGAGAACAAGCGCAGUGUCAUAGUCAAAGUCAGGUUCCGCCAAAUAGAAAAUGGACACAAAGAGCUUGGUGAAGGUUAUAGAUCGGCGAAUGCGUGGCGUCUUGAAAACUGAAGAUAGGGGUGUUAGAUGACACGGGUCCUGCUUUGUUACUGAACAACAGCUUGUUCUGUGUUCUAUAACCUUUCAAAACCAGCAGUGUGAAAUAGACUGGUUGCGGGGGGGGUACGGACCCUACGGACGUAAGACGGGGAACACCCCAGGAUGGGGCGCCAACCCACGACAGGACACACUCAGUCAGACACUCUAAUGGGCAAUUUUAUAACUCCAAUUAACCUCAGCAUGUUUUUGGACUGUGAGGAGAAACUAGAGUACCCAAAGGGAAACCCCACGACGACAUGAGGAGAACAUGCAAACUCCACACACAGAGCCAUGGUGGAGACUCGAACCCAGGUUCCAGAAGUGUGCGGCGACAGUGCUAACCACUGCACCACUGUGCUGAUCCCUUUUUCCAUAGACAGUAUUUUUCGUUUAAUUAAAUACCUGAUGUAAGGUAUUUAGCUAGUAACCAAAAAACAU